rnacentral:rRNA from 1 species
CUGCACACGUGCUACAAUGGCUGGGCACGAAUGGGCUGCGAAACCGCGAGGUAGAGCGAAUCCCACAAAGCCAGUCUAAGUUCGGAUUGAAGGCUGAAACUCGCCUUCAUGAAGUCGGAGUCGCUAGUAAUCGCGAAUCAGCACGUCGCGGUGAAUACGUUCCCGGGCCGUU